AGCAACAUGGCGCAGCUGGAAGCGCGCAGGGCUCAUAACCCUGAGGUCACUCGAUCGAAACGAGUUGUUGCUA
rfam:Grifola frondosa strain 9006-11 000021F, whole genome shotgun sequence.